rnacentral:rRNA from 1 species
UGGAUAAGCGCUGAAAGCAUCUAAGCGCGAAGCCAACUUCAAGAUAAGAUUUCCCACCGCAAGGGUAAGACCCCAGAAAGACUAUCUGGUUGAUAGGUCGAAGGUGUAAGUGUAGCAAUGUAUUUAGCUUAUCGAUACUAAUAGGUCGAGGACUUGACCAAU